CUAGUAAUCGCAGAUCAGAAUGCUGCGGUGAAUGCGUUCCCGGGUCUUGUACACACCGCCCGUCACACCACGGAAGUUGGGGCGCCCGAAGCCACUUAGCUAACCCUUUUGGGAAGCGAGUGUCGAAGGUGAGAUCAAUAACUGGGGUGAAGUCGUAACAAGGUACC
rnacentral:rRNA from 1 species